rnacentral:rRNA from 1 species
UACAGAGGGUGCGAGCGUUACUCGGAAUUACUGGGCGUAAAGCGUGCGUAGACGGUUAUUUAAGUCAGGUGUGAAAGCCCCGGGCUCAACCUGGGAAUUGCAUUUGAGACUGAAUAGCUAGGGUGCGGAAGAGGGAAGCGGAAUUUCCGGUGUAGCGGUGAAAUGCGUAGAUAUCGGAAGGAACACCAGUGGCGAAAGCGGCUUCCUGGUCCAGCACCGACGUUCAGGCACGAAAGCGUGGGGAGCAAACAGG